AUUGGAUCCAGACUUUGAUCAUGGCUCAGGAUGAACUCUAGCUACAGGCUUAACACAUGCAAGUCGAGGGGAAACGACAUUGAAAGCUUGCUUUCGAUGGGCGUCGACCGGCGCACGGGUGAGUAACGCGUAUCCAACCUGCCCAUCACUUGGGGAUAACCUUGCGAAAGUAAGACUAAUACCCAAUGACGUCUCUAGAGGACAUCUGAAAGAGAUUAAAGAUUUAUCGGUGAUGGAUGGGGAUGCGUCUGAUUAGCUUGUUGGCGGGGUAACGGCCCACCAAGGCAACGAUCAGUAGGGGUUCUGAGAGGAAGGUCCCCCACAUUGGAACUGAGACACGGUCCAAACUCCUACGGGAGGCAGCAGUGAGGAAUAUUGGUCAAUGGACGAGAGUCUGAACCAGCCAAGUAGCGUGCAGGAUGACGGCCCUAUGGGUUGUAAACUGCUUUUAUAAGGGAAUAAAGUGAGUCUCGUGAGACUUUUUGCAUGUACCUUAUGAAUAAGGACCGGCUAAUUCCGUGCCAGCAGCCGCGGUAAUACGGAAGGUCCGGGCGUUAUCCGGAUUUAUUGGGUUUAAAGGGAGCGUAGGCCGGAGAUUAAGCGUGUUGUGAAAUGUAGACGCUCAACGUCUGCACUGCAGCGCGAACUGGUUUCCUUGAGUACGCACAAAGUGGGCGGAAUUCGUGGUGUAGCGGUGAAAUGCUUAGAUAUCACGAAGAACUCCGAUUGCGAAGGCAGCUCACUGGAGCGCAACCGACGCUGAAGCUCGAAAGUGCGGGUAUCGAACAGGAUUAGAUACCCUGGUAGUCCGCACGGUAAACGAUGGAUGCCCGCUGUUGGUCUGAAUAGGUCAGCGGCCAAGCGAAAGCAUUAAGCAUCCCACCUGGGGAGUACGCCGGCAACGGUGCAACUCAAAUGAAUUGACGGA
rnacentral:rRNA from 1 species